AUGGAGAGGAACGGUUGGCUGAAUAUCACCACCACCACAGUGCAGCGUCAGAUUCCACAGUUCAGGUUUCUUGUUGUGCAGACAAUGGGUCCACGUCCUGCAGCUGCUGCUGCUGCAGCCACUCCUGCCGUCCGCACCAUUCCCCAGUAUAAAUAUGCUGCAGGAGUCCUCAAUCCCCAGCAACACCUUAAUGCACAGCCACAAGUUACCAUGCAACAGCCUGCUGUUCAUGUGCAAGGUCAAGAACCUUUAACUGCUUCCAUGUUGGCAUCUGCACCCCCGCAAGAGCAAAAGCAAAUGUUGGGUGAACGGCUGUUUCCUCUUAUUCAAGCCAUGCACCCCUCUCUUGCUGGCAAAAUCACUGGCAUGCUUUUGGAGAUUGAUGACUUGGAAUUACUUCACAUGCUUAAGUCUCCAGAGUCUCUCUGCUCAAAGGUUGAUGAAGCUGUAGCUGUACUACAAGCCCACCAAGUGAAAGAGGCUGCCCAGAAAGCAGUGAACAGUGCCACUGGUGUUCCAACUGUCUAAACUGAUCAGGGACCACGAACAGAAACUUGUGCUUCACCAAAGAAAAAUAUCUUAAACAUUGAAAAAUUUAAAUAGUAUGAAAAAAUUGCAAAAUAUAAAAUAAAUAAAAAAAGGAAAGGAAACUUUGAACCUUAUGUACUGAGCAAAUGCCAGGUCUAGCGAACAGUGCUAGUCCUAGAUUACUUGAUUUAAAACAA